rnacentral:rRNA from 1 species
UAAUACAGAGACCUCGAGCGUUAAUCGGAGUCACUGGGCUUAAAGCGUACGUAGGCGGACCUGUAGGCAUCUUGUGAAAUACCUCGGCUCAACCGAGGAACUGCUUGGUGAACCACAGGUCUUGAGGCAAGUAGGGGCUGUCGGAACGAUAGGUGGAGCGGUGAAAUGCGUUGAUAUCUAUCGGAACGCCAAAGGUGAAGACAGGCAGCUGGGCUUGUACUGACGCUGAGGUACGAAAGCGUGGGGAGCAAACGGGAUUAGAUACCCCGGUAGUCCACGCCGUAAACGAUGUGCACUAGAUCCUGGUGGCUCUGACGCCUUCAGGGUCGAAGCAAAAGUGAUUAGUGCACCGCCUGGGGAGUACGGUCGCAAGGCUA